ensembl:lncRNA
CUACUUCAAUGAACUAAAAAGACUUAAAAUAGCAUGAUGUGGCCUUCCCUUGGGGCAAGGACGCAAUGCUCUACUUGUCUGAAUCUCUACGUCUGCCGUCUUACCAAGUCACCUCACGUAUCGACAGGCCAGAAGUCGUGGUGUGAAAUCAGAGUUUCUCAUUGCUAUGUUCCUGACAGAAUCAUAGCAGAAAGGUCUCCAAAUUGCCUGAUGGGCUGUAGAUUGAUUUCUGUACCACAGGUACAUUUGCUCAUUUACAACCAUUCUCAGCAUUUUCAAAAAAGGAUGCCUAAAAGUGUGAUGGUAUCCGGAUGUAUGGAGCACACAGUUCAGGUGAGUAUUCUGGUUUUGGUCUAAUAUUUGAAAACACCUCACCAAAAUGACAGCCCUAGCAGUGUUUUGUGAAGAGCAGCUCUGUGGACUCCAGCAUACAUCACCAUAAGUAUCGCUCACUGGAUCUGGGGUCAGCGUUAAGGCCUCUGGAGCUCAACCUGUGGAAUAAACACUGAAGUUUUUUCCAAGAAAAUAAUCUGAGAGAAAAGCUUUCCUUCUGCCUUCUUUCUUCUCCACACUCCUUACCACUGUUGAUAAGAAAAUGAAGACAAGAUGAUCUCUUCUGUUUAUACAUGUUUUGUUGUAAGGCUUUUGCUUUGGGCUAAUUUCUUCCACUUGGCCGGCCAGCUUUUCUCCUGGGAUCUCUGAUAGUUGCUGUAGUGUUUGGCAGCCUGUGGCUCUGCAAGGUGUAAUGACUGGCUUCAAAUUUUCUGCUUUCUUCUGUCACUAUAAUACCUGGUGUUAGAAGUGCUGUUUACGAACUCCUUUUUUUCUUUUGAGAGGGAAUGACAGAUUACCAUUCAUCGCAUACACUUGUAAACAUUUCAACUGGAAGUAACCAGAAGAGUAGUGCAAUUAUUCCUUGUAGCUUUCUCCAGUAUUGCUCUUCGACAUUAUAGACAAACCAGCAUGAAUAUUCUUUUUUUCAUCUGAGCAAAAGCCAAUGCAGUUUUGUGUUAGGACUCCCAUCAUGACCAAUUUCCUUUGCUGUCAGUCUACACCUUCUGUUUGUCAUUUCUUUCUUAGUAUGCUAUUUAAAAUAUGAAUGUUCUUUCUUUGCUGCAUAUACUGUGAAGUCUGCUUUGUACAAUGUGUCAAGUUUUUGUAUCUUACAUUUGCACUUAUUUAAGUUGGAUUUGAGCUGUCACAUUCAAAAUUUGCUAUAUUUCUAGUUCACAAAAUGCAUGUGGAAUUUUCCUGUAAUGGAGUGACUGUUGUGAACUGGGCUCUUUGGCAAAUAAUUUCAUGCUGAGGAACCAGAUGGACAGGCACCCAAGCAGAAUACCUCCUUGUUUAAAUCAAUAUGAACUGGAGGCCAUUUCUUGGUAAUUGAGUUAAUGAGGUCAGUGAGAACUUCUUACUAGGAAUAAUUUGAAUGAUUUUGUAUUCUUAUAAUCACUUGUUAUGAAUUUACAACCAGUGUGAUCAUUCCUGGCUAGCAACUCAGAGAUUUAAAUGUUGAAAUGGAUAUUUGUGAUGACACAG